rnacentral:tRNA from 1 species
GUGGGCAUAGCUCAGUGGUAGAGCACAUGCUUAGCAUGCUCGACGAGGUCCUGGGUUCAAUCCCCAGUGCCUCUA